rnacentral:tRNA from 2 species
UGGGGCGUAGCCAAGCGGUAAGGCAACGGUUUUUGGUACCGUCAUUCCCUGGUUCGAAUCCAGGCGCCCCAG